AGCCCUUGACAUGGUCACGACCGGUCCAGAGAUGGACUUUCCUAGCAAUAGGCGUGAUGCACAGGUGCUGCAUGGCU
rnacentral:rRNA from 1 species